rnacentral:rRNA from 1 species
GGACGAACGCUGGCGGCGUGCCUAAUACAUGCAAGUAGAACGCUGAAGAGAGGAGCUUGCUCUUCUUGGAUGAGUUGCGAACGGGUGAGUAACGCGUAGGUAACCUGCCUUGUAGCGGGGGAUAACUAUUGGAAACGAUAGCUAAUACCGCAUAACAAUGGAUGACACAUGUCAUUUAUUUGAAAGGGGCAAUUGCUCCACUACAAGAUGGACCUGCGUUGUAUUAGCUAGUAGGUGAGGUAACGGCUCACCUAGGCGACGAUACAUAGCCGACCUGAGAGGGUGAUCGGCCACACUGGGACUGAGACACGGCCCAGACUCCUACGGGAGGCAGCAGUAGGGAAUCUUCGGCAAUGGGGGCAACCCUGACCGAGCAACGCCGCGUGAGUGAAGAAGGUUUUCGGAUCGUAAAGCUCUGUUGUAAGUCAAGAACGAGUGUGAGAGUGGAAAGUUCACACUGUGACGGUAGCUUACCAGAAAGGGACGGCUAACUACGUGCCAGCAGCCGCGGUAAUACGUAGGUCCCGAGCGUUGUCCGGAUUUAUUGGGCGUAAAGCGAGCGCAGGCGGUUUGAUAAGUCUGAAGUUAAAGGCUGUGGCUCAACCAUAGUUCGCUUUGGAAACUGUCAAACUUGAGUGCAGAAGGGGAGAGUGGAAUUCCAUGUGUAGCGGUGAAAUGCGUAGAUAUAUGGAGGAACACCGGUGGCGAAAGCGGCUCUCUGGUCUGUAACUGACGCUGAGGCUCGAAAGCGUGGGGAGCGAACAGGAUUAGAUACCCUGGUAGUCCACGCCGUAAACGAUGAGUGCUAGGUGUUGGAUCCUUUCCGGGAUUCAGUGCCGCAGCUAACGCAUUAAGCACUCCGCCUGGGGAGUACGACCGCAAGGUUGAAACUCAAAGGAAUUGACGGGGGCCCGCACAAGCGGUGGAGCAUGUGGUUUAAUUCGAAGCAACGCGAAGAACCUUACCAGGUCUUGACAUCCCGAUGCUAUUUCUAGAGAUAGAAAGUUACUUCGGUACAUCGGUGACAGGUGGUGCAUGGUUGUCGUCAGCUCGUGUCGUGAGAUGUUGGGUUAAGUCCCGCAACGAGCGCAACCCCUAUUGUUAGUUGCCAUCAUUCAGUUGGGCACUCUAGCGAGACUGCCGGUAAUAAACCGGAGGAAGGUGGGGAUGACGUCAAAUCAUCAUGCCCCUUAUGACCUGGGCUACACACGUGCUACAAUGGUUGGUACAACGAGUUGCGAGUCGGUGACGGCAAGCUAAUCUCUUAAAGCCAAUCUCAGUUCGGAUUGUAGGCUGCAACUCGCCUACAUGAAGUCGGAAUCGCUAGUAAUCGCGGAUCAGCACGCCGCGGUGAAUACGUUCCCGGGCCUUGUACACACCGCCCGUCACACCACGAGAGUUUGUAACACCCGAAGUCGAUGAGGUAACCUUUUGGAGCCAGCCGCCUAAGGUGG